CGACAAUGAGUUAUCUUUCUUAGAAAAUCGUUUUAAUGGAGACGGAGAAAAGAACGAUCAUUAAUUAGUGGCAAUUGAUUUUAUCAAGUAAUGAUGAAAAUCUAUCUGUUUAUAUGAUUAAAGAUGAACAAAAUGGAAGAGAAUGUUGUUGGAAAACCUUCAUUGAAAACGUAUUCAAGAGCAAAGAAUAGACGUGGGAUCAGUGAUGAUGGAAUGGUGCUCUGGCAGAAAGCCUUUCAGUCCCAGGAGAAGCUGUCAAGCCCAGAUGAUAAAGAGUCAAAAUUUAAGAAAGGAAAAGGAAAAAGAGAAAGACUUAAAAGCACCAUGUCAGAGGCUGGAUCUUUAAAGAAAUUGAAACAGGGCAGAAAUAAGAAAGCCAUUUCGCAGGUAAAGAUUCGAAGAAAGACUUCAGUUAAAAAUCUUUCUCCUUUGCAAGAUUCUUACGAGAAUGAUGUAUUAUUUGGUAAAGGUUUACAGCCUGUCAAAGCAAGACAGAAAUCAAGAGCUAGAAAACCACAGGCUGGCACACCCAAGCAAAAAUUUGGAGCUAAAGGGCAGCUGAAAAGGAGUUCAGUUCCAAAAACUAAGCCCCAAGAACAGUUUAAAGUAUCGCUACAAACAAACACCUCAGAAAAAAUAGAACUUUCUGCUCAUGAAUUAAGGUCACUGCAUGGAGAACAUGCUUCGAUUUUGGUUGUGGAGUCCAGGUCACCCCCAGGGUCUCAGCUGAGACCAGAAGAUAAAGUGAGUGAUUGGUUGGCUAAGUCCGAUAAUUGCAGAUCACGUGAUGACUCCAGCAAAGAGGUGUGGAGAGGCGAACAACAAUUCACAGGAGAUGAGGUGAGAAACAAACUAUUUCCUGAUGAGUUUUUCCAGAACCUGAAAUGUGUUCUACAGAAACCACAAUCAACUAGAGUAAGCAAGCAUGUGAAAGCUAGACAAGAUGAAUUCUUAUCCCAGUUGGCUCUGAAAAAUGUGGACAAACAGUUGGUAGGAGGACCUGGGAGUGCUGCCACAGAAAAGUUUACAAACAGCUGUGAUGAAAGUAACGAGGAUAUCACAUUCAUUUAUAGUGGCACACCGUCUGGGCUACAAACUGGCACACAAACUGGGACUGGUACGCAAACGGUUACUGGCACUGGUAGCUUUUCUUCUUAUGUAGGCACAGGUACCAGUAGAGUAACAGAAACACAAUCCAGUUGUCAGACUGGUACUCAAAUGAAGACUGGUACAUACAGCUUCAGUACAAGUACAGGUGCAAGCCGAUUUAAAGAAACUGAAACACAGUCACAGACUGGGACUUGUACCGAAACAUUAAACUUCCCUACUGGUACAAGUACCAGUAGAUUUACAGGGCGAGAAACACAGUCACAUGGUGAGACUGGUGUUGCAAACAUAAACAAAAACCAUCCUAAUGGUAUGUGUACCACAGGAACAAACAACUACACAGAAUCCAUUGUUGUUCAUACUGAUACUUGUGUCAGCUCAGACACAAACACAGACACUUUUCCUAGGAAAAUAUCUGCCAGAGCUUCCAGUGCUGACAGAAAGAAUUCAGUGGAAAUUAAAGAUCAAUAUAAACCAAAGACCACUGAAGAGGAACGAACCUUUACAUGUAAAGAUUCUAAUGUUCCAAAGUACCUAUGUUCUACAAUGAGAAGAAGUGCAUCGCUGAACAGUCACGAGUUUCCUUCAGAAUUAUCAGCUGUCACAGACUGUCUGAAAAACCAACAGCAGGAAGAAAAAACACCUAGAAGAACAGCAGAAGAAUUCAAAGUUCCAGGAUCUCCUACCAAGUGUACUGCUUUUAAAGGAAUGAGAAAAGGCACCCUCCAACCCAAGAAUUCCACGAAGUUGUUUACCACAGGGUUUGUGGAAAUAGAAGAUGUCAUACCACAGAUGUCCACAAUUACUUGUGAACAGAACUCAAAAUCCACUGGCAUAGAGGAUGAUAAAAGAGGAACACUACGACCAAAGCAGAGGCAGCAAAACAUUAAAACAAGCACCCCAAAUAAAGUCAAUUCAGAGGGACAAGCCUUCCAAUUUGAGAUUGACAUAUCAUCAGUGAACAUGGACUCGGAUGAUGACCUUCUUCAUUUCAAUGAAUCAAGAGAAGUCAACUCUGAUGAGUGUAUACAUCUCUCUGAUACAUUAAUUAAUACUCAGCAGGAUAGAACAAUACAAGAUAUUAAUGCAGAUAUAAAGGCAUCAAGGGAUGGCCACUUCACCAAAGCAAGCACAGGGGAAAAGUCGAGAAAGUCUGCAAAGAAAAAAGAAGCUUCAGCAGAUGAGGACUUUGCUACAGAAAUAAGUCCCGAGACAAAAACGGUAAAGAAAGAUAAGAAAAAGACUGAGCCAGCAUCAAAGAAACCUAAAAAUAUGAAUAGAAAAGUCCCAAAAAGAAGAAAACAGAAAAAAUUUGGAGGUCUGAAAAUAAGUUUAAGGAAUCAGAAUGGUAGAAGCAGACUCAGUAGUACUGUUUCAGGGACAUCAUGGCAGUCAGGGUACAGUAGAAAAAGCUCAACUGGAAUAUUGUCAACAAAUAGUAAUGACAAUAAUAGCAAAGGAAAGUCAAAGAAAGCAAAGGAUGUUUGUCUGCCUAAAAAUGAUGUCUUUGAUAUUGAUGAAUCUGCUAAAAAUAUAUCUGUUCCAGAAUACAAGAAGUUGGCAAAGAAAACGAGCCUUUUGUUUAAGAAACCUUUGAGGAAAAAGGCUUUAACAGUUAAAAAACAGCAAACUAAAAGGAAAUCUGGUGAAAUAUCUUUUAAUCCAAAGGGUACACUUAAUUUCAACAGCAUAAGCUACUCCACACUGGCAUCAGAAAGUCUGGGAAGUGUGUUUCACACAUACAAACAAAAUAGCCACAGAAAAACCCUUUAUCCUCCACUUGAGUUUAACAGGAACAAUUACAGUUACCCAUCCAUAGCAUCAGAAAAUCUUGAAAGUAUAUUACACUCAAACAGACAUAACAGCAAUAGUAAAACCUUGUGUCCUGAACCACAAAAAAGGGUCACUGUUCCAGUAUGUACACUUAUGGAUGAGGAUUUUAGUUGUCCCAGAAUGAAGAAAUCAUUUGUGAUGUUCAAAACAGCAAACACAAGGUCAAACCAGGAGAUUCUAGAUUCAGUUCAGAUAGAUAGUCUGAUGAUGUGAUUUAUGCAUUCAGAAGUUCUUGUUGUCCAGUGAUCUGGCAGACCUACAGUUGUUUGGCCAGUUACACCAUUUGAAAUGCCACCUAUUUGCUAACUUUACAUACAUUCAUAGUGGAUUAUACCUCGAGCUUGAACAGUAAUCAGAUUGACAAAAAGUAUGUUUUCUGUAGAGCACUGUGUCUUACAGGUGUUAAGAAGAAACAUUGAGAGUAGAGAUGUCAUACAUGGCCAUGUAUGUUAUAUAUUGAUUUUGCAUACUGUAAAAUCAUAAAUAUUCAUUUGGGUCUAAUUUGUGAUUAAGUCAUUCCUUGAAAUAAAAUGCCAACAAACGAGUUAAAUUCCAAUUCAUUUCAAGGUCACAAAUCUAUAUCUCAACGAAAUAGCUGCUUUGGAAAAAAAGAAAUUUGUUCUUAAGAAAUGAUUUCACAGUGUCUUGAACAGCUGAUAAAAGUGGAAAAGAAAAGUUGGAUUAAUUCAUCUACAUCUGAUUACUACAUGUUUUUCAAUGAAUUAUGGAAAAUAAUAAUGAUAUAUACAUUUUGUAUUAUGUGGUAUUUUCAAAGUAAAGACUAUCAAAUGUAGUUUUUACAGGUAAGAAUAUUAUGGGUAAAAUUUUCUUAAGAAAUGAAGUAAAAAGAAAAUUUAGAUUUUUUGCAUUUCAGAUCAAAAUAUCUUUCACUCGUGGACAUGGGGUUCACAAAAAUUGCCAGAUUCUUGGACAUUUCAAACCUAUUUUGUGCAGAUCUGGUAACAUUUGCAAGCUAUGAGGCAGUUAUACUAACUAGUUCCAUGCAUUCCAAACUUAGUGAGGAGUGGUUUCCCUUUACAUGAAAAUUUUUAAUGUAAUAUGAUCUUUACUGUUUAGCAUCCAGUCUGAGUUUUGUACACUUCUUUUACAUUUGGAAUACCUUUGUCUGUCAAAAUAACUGUCUUUUAGUCCAGCAGUAAAUGAAACAUUAGUCAAUCUUUCUAGCAUUUUUGUAAAAUCAGCCUAUGUUGCAGGACAUUUCAGCUUGUAAAAUAUUGCAUUUAGUGUUCACUUUAUGAAAGAUAUUCUGAAAACAAAUAUCUGAUGUUUACAACAAAAGGCAAGAUUUCUGAACUAGGUGUACUAAUAUAAAAUGUUUGUUCAAAGCAUUUCUUUGUCAAAGAAAGACCACUACUAUCACAUUUGUAUUAAUAUGUAGGGUUACACUUUGUGCAUUUGCCUUUGUAGUAUGAAAAUAUUCUUGUUUUAAAUUUAUUAAUGAUCAUUCACCUUUAAUGUAUGAGAUUAUUUUUGUUAGGCAUAAAAAUAAGCUAACACCUUCAAAAUGUAUGUUUUUCAUUGUAUAGGUAUGUGCACUGUUGUAAGCAUAAUUUGUAGGGCAGAAUGGAAGCAUAUGUUAAUUAAAGAACAAAGUAUAUGCAGCUUGUUAGCAUACGCUUUAUAUCAGGACAUUUGAAAGUUAGAAAGUAUAGAAAGUUUGGGGGGGAAAAAAGAACAGAAUGUGUUGAUAUUUGCAUUCCAAUAUUUUUAGUUCUGUUAAAUGCUAAAUUGUGAAGAAAAAAAAGUAUUGAAAUUGAAUAUAACAUGUACAUUUUGCCAUGUGGCUAAUAUAUGACUAUUAUUUUUUUCUGUACAAAGUUUUGUUGCACUGUUCUAAUUUGUAAAAUGCCAUUAAAUUAUUGCUGAAGUUAUUUAUAAUAGUAUUUAUUAAUAAUUUAGAACUAGAUUUAAUAUGUAAUUUAUAGUGUGUGUUCUGUUCAUAAAAGAUGAAUUUGUUGCCUUCAUUCAUUUGUUUGUUGUAGAUUUCCAGUAUGAAAGUGAAACAUUUAAAAGCUUCACACAUAACCGCUGCCAUUGAAUAUUAUAUGCCUUGAGAAACCAUACUUUGAUUAUAUAAGGAAGAAGAUCAAUUCCCCUUUUCUAUAAUGAAUUAAAAAACAAAAUACUUGACAUAAUGACAUUGCAUAGAGAGGAAGUGUUCCACUCAGUCGAAUCAUAAAUCUUUGGAAAAAAAAAACUGUUAUUACUCCAGAGGCCAUAUUUUCUUCAUAAAUUUUAGACUAUAAUUUAUGUCUUUAUAAAAUCAAUGUGAAGUUUGAAACUGCUGUAUCUAUUCCAAGUUCAAGAUCACACAGGCACUUGUAGGUCAAAGGUCAUAAUCACAUCAUUUUACCUUCCCAGUAUCAAAGCGGAGUCUGGGUGUGUUAAUGAUAGCUUUUCACAAAGAUCAUGCCUGUAAAAUAAUCAUCUAAAGCAGUGAACCACCUACUCUGAGGCUGCUCUCUUUGCACACAACAGUAUGCUUCUUUUGAAUGGGUAGAUGCUGACGUUUUGCAGAUAGAUUUUCAAGACCUAGAGAAGUUAUUACAAAGCUUUGGACAAAUAUAACAAUCUUUUAUUUUGUGAGAAAUAAAUAUUUAAG